rnacentral:lncRNA from 10 species
CUUUCUGUUCCUGGACUGCUGGUAGAUGCAGGCCUCCUGGGCACUGCCACAGCCACUCAUGGCCAGAGUGGCAUCUGUAGUGGCAGCAGCAGCAGGCACACAGGGCAGUGGCCAGAGCACUUUCAGUGAAAAAGGCAGAAGCCUUUACACUCCACCCCGGGCUGUUCUAAAAAUACUUAGCUGUGGUGUCAGAAUUCCUGGCCCGAGAGGGGAGGACUGCCUGAGCUCCGGGAGGUGGAGGCUGCAGUGAACCGAGAUGACAUCACUGCACUCCUGCAAAUCGGUGGGGUAAGGACUUUAAAAAUGGUGUUGGGGGGUGGGCCAACUACAUCCUUUAGGGCCUGUGCUAUUGCCAGGUGCAAUGGCUCAGGCCUGUAAUCCCAGCACUUUGGGAGGCUGAGGUGAGGAGGAUGGAUUGAGGCCAAGUAAUUGAGACCAGCCUGGGCAACCCUGUUCCUACAAAAAAUUAAAAAAUGAGCUGGGCAUGGUGAGGUGUGCUUAUAGUCCCAGCUAUUAGGGAGGCUGAGGCAGGAGGAUCACUAGGCCCAGGAGUUUGAGAUGACAGUGAUCAUGCCACUGCACUCCAGCCUAGGUGAC